CAGUCGCCGCGGUAAUACGAAGGGGGCUAGCGUUGCUCGGAAUUACUGGGCGUAAAGGGAGCGUAGGCGGGUCGUUUAGUCAGAGGUGAAAUCCCGGGGCUCAACCUCGGAACUGCCUUUGAUACUGGCGACCUUGAGUAUGGGAGAGGUGAGUGGAACUCCGAGUGUAGAGGUGAAAUUCGUAGAUAUUCGGAAGAACACCAGUGGCGAAAGCGACUCACUGGCCCAUUACUGACGCUGAGGCUCGAAAGCGUGGGGAGCAAACAGGAUUAGAUACCCGGGUAGUCCCUGUCUCUUAUAC
rnacentral:rRNA from 1 species